rnacentral:rRNA from 1 species
UGGGGAAUUUUGGACAAUGGGCGAAAGCCUGAUCCAGCAAUGCCGCGUGUGUGAAGAAGGCCUUCGGGUUGUAAAGCACUUUUGUCCGGAAAGAAAUUCCUUGGCUCUAAUACAGUCGGGGGAUGACGGUACCGGAAGAAUAAGCACCGGCUAACUACGUGCCAGCAGCCGCGGUAAUACGUAGGGUGCAAGCGUUAAUCGGAAUUACUGGGCGUAAAGCGUGCGCAGGCGGUUUGCUAAGACCGAUGUGAAAUCCCCGGGCUCAACCUGGGAACUGCAUUGGUGACUGGCAGGCUAGAGUAUGGCAGAGGGGGGUAGAAUUCCACGUGUGAGCAGUGAAAUGCAUAGAGAUGUGGAGGAAUACCGAUGGCGAAGGCAGCCCCCUGGGCCAAUACUGACGCUCAUGCACGAAAGCGUGGGGAGC